rnacentral:rRNA from 1 species
UACGUAGGGUGCAAGCGUUGUCCGGCAUUAUUGGGCGUAAAGAGCGUGUAGGCGGCCCGAUUAGUCCGCUGUGAAAGUCCAGGGCUCAACCCUGGAAUGCCGGUGGAUACUGUCGGGCUAGAGUCCGGAAGGGGCGAGUGGAAUUCCUGGUGUAGCGGUGAAAUGCGCAGAUAUCAGGAGGAACACCAAUGGCGAAGGCAGCUCGCUGGGACGUGACUGACGCUGAGACGCGAAAGCGUGGGGAGCAAACAGG